UCAAGAAUCCACCAAUAUACAAGUUCCUGUUGGAAUUAAUCCCAUAAAAAAACAACAUUCCCGGCUUACUUAACAUAGUAAGGAAGGUCAAGAACAUAGAGCAAAAAGUAAGCCCAAGUCACACCGGAGAUCCCA